GUUUCCAUAGUGUAGUGGUUAUCACGUUCGCCUCACACGCGAAAGGUCCCUGGUUCGAUUCCAGGUGGAAACA
rnacentral:tRNA from 1 species